AUGGGUAAAAAAAUCCGGAGAAGCUUCCUAAUUCUGGUCAUUUUUGGCACCAUCGGUUAUGGCACCGCACAAGAACUACCUCAGAAUAAACAAGAGCCUGCUCAGAUAAGUCUACGGAGUCAACUUGAACCAGUUUACCGAUUCGUAGAAUCGUUCUCAAACCCCGAUGCUUUUUCGCGAAUUUUCAAUGACAUUGCCACUUGGUACAGACAACAGUUGGCACCGUCCAUUGCCAAUGGUGGCAACUCACUAUUGUCAUUCCUACCCUCGGUUGGAGGCAAAAACCGGGGUUCUGAAAGAAGUCAGUGGAAUCCCUUUGGGAUGAUGGAAUCUCAAAGUUCCGGCGCAAAUGAUGAUAUUGAUAUCAUCCCGGAAAUCGAUACGACGCACUUAGACGCGUUCAUUCAAAGAUUGGUCGAUUCCUUGCUCCCAAGGCCGAGCCCCCAGCAGCUCGCUUCCCUUACAGCUCAACAACUUACAACAACUAAGAAACCUAUCGCAGCGAUGGAUCAUAAUAAUAUAGGCCGACGGCGUUUCCACGCAGCCACGCAUAAUCGCCAAGCGUAA
rnacentral:lncRNA from 1 species